GGGAGGAAGGCUCUUGGGUUGUAAACCUCUUUUCUCAGGGAAUAAGAACUGAAGGUACCUGAGGAAUCAGCAUCGGCUAACUCCGUGCCAGCAGCCGCGGUAAUACGGAGGAUGCAAGCGUUAUCCGGAAUGAUUGGGCGUAAAGCGUCCGCAGGUGGUUUAUCAAGUCUGCUGUCAAAGAGUUUGGCUCAACCAAAUAAAGGCAGUGGAAACUGACAGACUGGAGUGCGGUAAGGGCAGAGGGAAUUCCUGGUGUAGCGGUGAAAUGCGUAGAGAUCAGGAAGAACACCGGUGGCGAAAGCGCUCUGCUGGGCCGUAACUGACACUGAGGGACGAAGGCUAGGGGAGCGAAUGGGAUUAGAUACCCCAGUAGUC
rnacentral:rRNA from 1 species